rnacentral:misc_RNA from 1 species
UGGAGAGUGCAAUGUGU